UAGGAUAGAGAAGCUAUAUCCUAUUCAUUGGUACUAAUCAUGGAUACUUCAAUUUUUUUUAUAUUUGUUUGAAGUCAUGAUCUGAACGAGUCGCACAUACACCCUAGCACAUGUUCCUCGACGCUGAGGGCAUCCUUUAAGCGCGGCCGUUUUUCGAGCAUUUCGUAUUGGCUGUCUUGCGUUUCUAAUAAGUUGUUUAACCGUCGGCAUGUUGUAUGUAUAUAGAAAAAAAUGUAUUGCGAACUUGUAUAGUCCACAUUCUUUGGCUCUACCUAUCCAUUAUAGAGUAAAUAGCUCUUUUCACAAUAAGAGUUAUCCAUACAGUGACGGUAUUUAAUUAUGAAAGUUGGCUAAGUAGCUGACCCUGUUAGUCCGUUCUUUUAAGAUAAAGGAGCAUAAGCCUUUUUCUUUUUAUUACUAUUUCCUCCGCUUAAUGGAUAACCAUUUGCUACCAAUGGGAGAAUUGCUUCUUAUUUCCAAUUUAGAUAAUUGGAUUUGCACCAAAGGAAACCAUAAAUUCCAUAUACCAUAGAAAUCUAGGAUAGAGAAGCUAUAUCCUAUUCAUUGGUACUAAUCAUGGAUACUUCAAUUUUUUUAUAUUUGUUUGAAGUCAUGAUCUGAACGAGUCGCACAUACACCCUAGCACAUGUUCCUCGACGCUGAGGGCAUCCUUUAAGCGCGGCCGUUUUUCAAGCAUUUCGUAUUGGCUGUCUUGCGUUUCUAAUAAGUUGUUUAACCGUCGGCAUGUUGUAUGUAUAUAGAAAAAAAUGGAUUGGUUUAGAUCCAUCUUAACCUGAUGAUUGCUCAUCAUGAAGUCUUUCUAUUUUCUAUUAAAUCGAGGAAAACACGAAUUUAGCUGUGAAAUAACUUUACAAGAA
rnacentral:lncRNA from 1 species